UUUAUUUUUCCUCUCAUUCUCACACUUCCCUCUUCAUACCCGAUUCUUUCUCACUCCUCUCUUCCAAACCCAUGUCUACUGCUCAUUUUGUUUCUCACUCUAUCUUCCAAAGUGGAUUUGUUGGUCGUUCCGCCGGAUCUGCUGCUCAUUUCGUCGUCGUUCGCAUGUCUCCGUCAGAUCUGUUGUUCAUUUCGUCGUCGUCGUUUGCGUGUCUCUAGAUCUGCUGUCGUCGUCAUUCGUCGUUCAUUCCGCCGCCGUUCGUCGUUCGUUCCAUCGUCGAACGAUCACCAGAUUUGGACAAGUUUCGGAGGUGCAGCUUAACCGUGCGAAAGAGUCAACAAAAUCUACAGUUUUGAUGCAUCUAGAGUCCAGGGUACUCUUUCUAUCUUCUUUCUCUCUCUCUCUCAUUCACACCAUAUGUCUUUUGUUAUUAGGAUGAGAGAGAGCAAACUGCUUGUUACUAGGAUGCAAUCUCCAUCUUUAAAGCUGUCAAAGUCAAAUUGUGAACAAAUCAAAGGGAUUGGGGACGGGGAGUAGGUUAGGGGAUAGUCCACAGAGGGAAAGGACAUCGGAAGCCUAGACGUUGAACAAGGUCAGGGUCAGCAUCGUGGUGGGCCAUUUCCGCGGUCUCAUAUAGAAAACGCGAGGGAAAGCACCAGUGAAAAGGGAAUUUCCUUUAUCCACUUUUUGGUGGCUUUGAAUCAUUACAACUUUUGAGGAAAUUGGUACAGAUGUUCAUUUAAAUUUGUCCUCACUUUUCAAUUGGAUCGAAUUUUGGUUUCUCCUAAGUACAAGAAGAGGAGAUUCAAGAAGACAGCAAAGCCUCAGCGUGGAAUGGAAAAAGAAAAGGACGAAAAAAGAGAGAAAGUGGCCGACUAGGAAAGCGUUCAAAGUGCAAGGCUAAAUGGAGUUCUGGGAGUUCUACUGACACAAGGAGUGAGAGUACAAGUGAUAGCAGUAGUAUUCUGAUGAUGAAAGAGUUGAUCAUUGUGUCGCUACUCGUAAAAUUAAAGAUUCUAAGCAUUUUGAGGCUAAUCAAAAGGAAUUUAUGGUAUGUUGUUCUCUUCUUAUUCAAUUA